AUGGCUGGGGAAUGAUAUGCUCUAUUGAUGAAAUGGAAACCUGACUCCCAAGUUAUAUCUUCAGAGACGUAGAGAAACAGCAAUAAGAAAUGACUGCAGUGCAUUAGUACAUCCAAAAGUUAAAGAUCCUCUAAGGAAUCUGCCUUCCAUAGUUUUGAAGAGUGGGUUCUUCCUCCCAGAUCCAAACACUAACAGACUUGAUCCAGCCUAUGAUCCUCUGGGACUUUAUCAGUCUAAAUAUCUGGUUAAUGUGGCUUUGUCUGAAGGUGGUGAACUGGGUAGCUCGCCAUUGUUUUGAUAUUUGAGGAAGGAACAACAGUAACAGUGUGGGUUUGGACUCUCCUGUCAGCCACAAAGUUAAAGAAAAAGCAAAUAAUUGGGUGAAUAAGAAAACAGCAUGAUGUCAGCUCACUGGAGCACAAAAAGCAGAGGAGAAGAUCUGUAGCUGGGGAUACUCUUCAAUGGAUUUCAAAGGUUUAUGGGACUAUGAAAAGAAGAGGAAAGAACCCAUUUGUUUUCUGGCAAACAAAGAUCAAAGAGAUUAUUUUUACAAUAUAUAAGGUGAUGAGGUUUCCACCACAUCAUUUGGGAGACUACAGUCACAAUGACUGGGGAAAAAAAGGAAGAAACGCAGAGUCACAUGAGGUGAAGAUGGAGAAGAAGUCGUCUAAUUACAAUCACAGGAGAAGGACCACAUAGAUUCUCACUCCAGUACUCCCUGGAGAAAAUGUGAAAUUCCCCAGGAUCCCUGUUCUACAAAUGUGCCAUAGAAUAAAAUUCCCUCACCACCAAAACUGGCCAUCUCUUCAGCCCUAUACAUGUGAAUAAGAGUCACCAGAGUCAAGAGAACACAAGAAAACAUAACUUUGCUGGACAGAAGACCAGUACCAGGACUAUAUCCCACAUAAACCCAUUUGGAACUUAGGUGUUGACUUUCUGCACCAGACAAGUAUUCUCGAAAGAUGAUACAGGCUGUGGAAAAAAGGAACAAAAGUAAAUGUUCAGCCAAUUGAUAGUUUUAGACAAAAGAAAUAUAAGGUUUCUUUGAAAAAUACAUUCUGGUGAAUUUUGAGUUUUGGAAAAUUACUGGAUUGUUGCCAGUGCUGCAGACUGAAAUCCUUUGUUUAUUUGAAACAAAAUCUGCCUUUCUUUGUUUGGUUAGGAUGUGAAAAAGUAGAAUUAUGGAAACAUUUGACAAAGAUAUAUUAACCAUUCAAUAUUUGAAUAUUU